GUGAACGCUGGCGGUAGGCCUAACACAUGCAAGUCGAACGGCAGCACAGUAAGAGCUUGCUCUUACGGGUGGCGAGUGGCGGACGGGUGAGGAAUACAUCGGAAUCUACUUUUUCGUGGGGGAUAACGUAGGGAAACUUACGCUGAUACCGCAUACGACCUACGGGUGAAAGCAGGGGAUCUUCGGACCUUGCGCGAUUGAAUGAGCCGAUGUCGGAUUAGCUAGUUGGCGGGGUAAAGGCCCACCAAGGCGACGAUCCGUAGCUGGUCUGAGAGGAUGAUCGGCCACACUGGAACUGAGACACGGUCCAGACUCCUACGGGAGGCAGCAGUGGGGAAUAUUGGACAAUGGGCGCAAGCCUGAUCCAGCCAUACCGCGUGGGUGAAGAAGGCCUUCGGGUUGUAAAGCCCUUUUGUUGGGAAAGAAAAGCAGCAGGUUAAUACCCCGCUGUUCUGACGGUACCCAAAGAAUAAGCACCGGCUAACUUCGUG
rnacentral:rRNA from 1 species